GAUGAACGCUAGCUACAGGCUUAACACAUGCAAGUCGAGGGGUAACGAGAGGAAAGCUUGCUUUCCUUGUCGACGACCGGCGCACGGGUGAGUAACGCGUAUCCAGCCUGCCCCCAACUAGGGAAUAACCUUGCGAAAGUAAGACUAAUACCCUAUAAUUUCCUCAGAUGCCAUCUGACGAGGAAUAAAGAUUUAUCGGUUGUGGAUGGGGAUGCGUCUGAUUAGCUUGUUGGCGGGGUAACGGCCCACCAAGGCAACGAUCAGUAGGGGUUCUGAGGGGAAGGUCCCCCACAUUGGAACUGAGACACGGUCCAAACUCCUACGGGAGGCAGCAGUGAGGAAUAUUGGUCAAUGGGCGGAAGCCUGAACCAGCCAAGUAGCGUGCAGGAUGACGGCCCUAUGGGUUGUAAACUGCUUUUAUACAGGAAUAAAGUUAGCCACGUGUGGUUAUUUGUAGGUACUGUAUGAAUAAGGACCGGCUAAUUCCGUGCCAGCAGCCGCGGUAA
rnacentral:rRNA from 1 species